ACGGCCCUUCCAAAUUCUAAUCAUUUUUAAUAACUAAUUAUUGAGGGCCCCACAUUUAUUUUUUGCUCGGUGAGGAUCAUCUCCAUUUUUGAAUCCUUUUCGACUGUUAUUUGUUUUAUAAGAAUUGCGACACUGUGAAAAUGUGUCUCUGACCACGUCGCCAUCAAGGCAACCGUGGCCAUCAACACAUUUCGACUUCUCCGAGAUUUAGAUUUGGGUUGCAUCAAUGCACACCUGAUUUUAAGAAGGUAAUUUAAUUAAAAUGUGUCUAAAGAUUCUAUCGCAAUAUUAUUUUAGGGAAGGCCGUGAAAUUCGCUAAACGGCCCUCCCAUAUUCUAAUCAAUUUUUAUAAUUGUUUAUCAGGGGCCCCGCAUUUAUGUUUUGUUUGGCGAGGUUGUCUCGAACAUUUUAUUUGUUUAUGGUAAACUAAGGAAAUCACAAUUGUCUAGUUAUUUAUCUCUAAAGUACGAAGUCCCUAAUUCAAUAAUAUUCAAAGAGGCCUAUUUCCUCUGCCGCAGAUAACACUCGACUCAUGAGCAACGAGCCCUUUUCCUUUUGCUUAAAAUAAUGCCCUUUAUUUCUGCUUAAUUUCUGUGUUUGAUUGCUAUCUACUGAACAUAGGAAAUGAAUUAGUCAUUGCUGAAGUUAUGAACGAACCACACUACUAUCUACCGCAUUUUAAAAAGGACAUGGAAUCAAUUCAUAACCACGAAAAAUAAGAAACUGUCCACUGUAACUCUAAUCCAGUUUAACCAACCACCUAAGAAUUAAAAGCAAAUUUAAACAUAGUGUAAGCAAAUCUCCAGUUCUAAGCUAAUUAUAGGCAUACUCAACAAUCACUUCUAAGGAAGGAAAUUCUAGGAUUAUGCUACUUGUUGUUAAGAUAAGUGAGGACUAUGAAUCACCAAUUCACUUACUGUUUGAUUAACCUCUGAUUUUCAAAAUUUAACCACAUAAUCGAAAUCUAAUUACAGCAUAUAUAGUAGACUAUCAAAUGUUCCCAAGCAGUCCAACUCAGUCAUUGAGUGAUCAUCAAACUGACCUUUAUUACAGACAAACUUCAAGUAAUUAAACUUAAACUUAAGCAAAUCCUAGAACCGGCUAUAAUCGAAUAUGAAAGUCAGAUUAUAUUAACAAUCACUCAAUAAUUCCAAGCAAAUCCAUAGGAACUGAGAUCAAUUCUUCAUUCAUGGCUUCCACAAGCAAUUCAUACGAGUGUGUCAGACUUUUAAUUUGAAGAGCAAAUGAAAAUGUACCUGGCAAUGGUAAUACAACAAAGGAGAAGAAGAGGUCAGCAACAAUAGCACACAGCAAAUCAGGAAAAUUUGAGAGCAAACUAAGACUUGGAACUUAGCCACAAUCACUUGAAUGUGCCCAGGUGUGCUUGUGAAUGCAUCAGAAAUACUCCAACGAAAUACAAAAAACCAACAACUAACUCUAAAACAACUCAAUUGAGAAUCACACCAAUCGGCCAAAUCAGUACAUUUCUGAAAUCAGAGCCAUCAAAACUAAAUUGGAAAUUCAACAAAUCAACCAACCAAUGCUUGAGAUGCACCCAGAAUUCUAAUAAAACAGUGUUUGUUUGUAUUUUCUUUUUGUUUUCUUUUUUUUUUCUUUUGGUUUUUUGAUAGUUUUGAAUUCAAAUUUAGGUAAGAUAUAUCUGGAGGAAUUUUUCAGAUCUGAAAAAAACUGAAGUAGGGGUUUGGGCAAAUCUUUUAGGCUCCAAAACUUGUGAAAGAAGUAAAGGUCAUGCCCCUUUUAUAGGCACAAAGGAGGCCUAUCAGAUUUUCAGCUUUCUUUUUCGGUCCCUCCCCAUUUUCAACUUUAGUACAAUAUUUUUUAAUAUGUUAUCCAAGUACACUUAUCUUUUGCAAAUUACCUAAAAUCCCCUAUCUAGAAGGUCCUAGAAAGUUCAUCCAACAUUCUCUACCCUUGAACUACCUAUUUUGCCCCUGAAUUUAAGCUAAAUAACAGCUAUAAACAAACAAUUCCCUAAGCUCUACAAAAUGCAAUCCUAAUCUAAGUAAUCAAUUUAAUCACUGAAUCAAACUAACAACAACAAUCAGUAAAACUAACCACCAGCUAAACUAAUCAAUACGGAUAAUCAAAUGACAUUCAAACAAAUGUUAAAUAACCCAAUCAAUAAAACUAACCACCAGCUAUACUAAUCAGUACUAAUAAUCAAAUGACAUUCAAACAAAUGUUAACUAACCAAAAUCAAAAUUGAAACCUAAUACUGCAAGUCAUGGUUUAACAGAAAGGGUUGAGAUGAAUUCAAACUAUUCGCAGAAUGAAUAACAACUUAACAACUAAAAACUAAGAUGAACAGGCAGAUGAUGAUCAAGUGAACCAUAUACGGAAUGAAAUUGAAACAGUUUUGAAGAAAACUUAAUGACUUCCAGAUUAACACUUUUAAACGACAAAAUAAAAACUAAGAUAACACCAAAAGGAAGAAGAGAAGGAAAAACAUAAUAGGGAAACUCAACUGCUUUAAAAAAUUUGUCUCAGAACUUGAGCGGACUUGGUAAUAUUCGACCUCGCCAAGGGUCGAUUAUUCACGAGGAGACGAGGAGACGAGGUGACCUUGGCGUGUUAAUUUGAGACCAAACGAAGGACCCUAAGACUUGACUGCCAUUUUUGAUUGAAAAUUCAAGGCGUCGCAGACUAAUUUGAGGGAGACUAUUGACAGAUUGGUGAUGAGGCGGAGGAGAAGGUCUGGUGGCGUGAAUUAGGACCCGUUUCGGCAAGUUUUGACUUGGCCAGACAAUUUCAAUCGAUGAUUCGGACAGUUUGGCUGUGAUUCGAAGGAAGCCAAUGCGAUAUUUGGAAUAAGUGUAUCGAGAGGGGUUGGUGGUAUUAUUUUGGGUGGGAACAGUGAAGAUGGUGUUUCCCUCCGGCGAGGAGUUGCAGAGAGUUAUACGAGGAUGUGACACUGACUGUCUCUAGGGUUUCAUUAUUCUUAGACAAUUUUAUCAUAAAACU
rnacentral:lncRNA from 1 species